AUUGAACGCUAGCGGGAUGCUUUACACAUGCAAGUCGAACGGCAGCGCGGACUUCGGUCUGGCGGCGAGUGGCGAACGGGUGAGUAAUGUAUCGGAACGUGCCCAGUAGCGGGGGAUAACUACGCGAAAGCGUAGCUAAUACCGCAUACGCCCUACGGGGGAAAGCAGGGGAUCGUAAGACCUUGCACUAUUGGAGCGGCUGAUAUCGGAUUAGCUAGUUGGUGAGGUAACGGCUCACCAAGGCGACGAUCCGUAGCUGGUUUGAGAGGACGACCAGCCACACUGGGACUGAGACACGGCCCAGACUCCUACGGGAGGCAGCAGUGGGGAAUUUUGGACAAUGGGGGCAACCCUGAUCCAGCCAUCCCGCGUGUGCGAUGAAGGCCUUCGGGUUGUAAAGCACUUUUGGCAGGAAAGAAACGUCGCGGGCUAAUACCCCGUGGAACUGACGGUACCUGCAGAAUAAGCACCGGCUAACUACGUG
rnacentral:rRNA from 1 species